CCCCUAUGCAUUAGGCAUCACAGCUGCAGAAGAGAGAGAAGAUCAGCAUCUCCCAUUCUACUUACCCCAUGAGGAAGCUCUAGGUCACUCCUCAGCCUUUAGGCUCAACAAACCAAGUGGCCUCUGCCUCUGGAGACUUUUCAUCAUCUUGGUCGCCUUUCUCUGGACACACUCUAGUAAUCUGAUGCUCCUGUUACAUUCUGGUGCCCAAAAUGCACUUGAGCUGCCGAAUGUAAGGACACAUUGUAAGCUCCUGACUGGAGCUGUCAGGACCAAGAGGUGUGUCUUCUCUUUUUUCCCUCCAUCAUUCAGGAUGUAUGGAAUGUGGUUCAUCUACUUCAGUCUAAGGAAUGCUCAUCAGUGAGAAAUCCUUGGAAAGUUUCUGCCAGUGAGGAAGUACACAAAAGAAGCUGGGAGAGAGCAUAGCUGGGACAGUGGACCCAAACUGACCAGAGGGAUAUUCCACACUGUUAUAAGUAAAAAUGAAAUAUGCCCAAUUCUAAUUUAAAAAAAAAAAUUAAUUUAUUUUGUGACCGUAAUACAGUCCUGACAGCCAACAAUCAAACGGACAGCAUAACACUCCCAGGAGAUUCCUCCCUUUUCAGUUCCUGAGUGACCUGCUGGAUCUUACUCUCUGGGUCUACUCCUUCUUUGUUCCUGGAGAAACAAAAGGUUUUAUCACACUGCAGGUGGAUUCUCUGAUUCUCCACCAGGAGGGGCACAGGGACAAUCUUGCACUUACUGGCUCCAACAAUUAGUUCAGGGAGUUGAGACAGCAUGCUUUAGUGCAG